GAUGAACGCUGGCGGCGUGCCUAAUACAUGCAAGUCGAGCGAACAGACGAGGAGCUUGCUCCUUUGACGUUAGCGGCGGACGGGUGAGUAACACGUAGGUAACCUACCUAUAAGACUGGGAUAACUUCGGGAAACCGGAGCUAAUACCGGAUAAUAUUUCGAACCGCAUGGUUCGAUAGUGAAAGAUGGCUUUGCUAUCACUUAUAGAUGGACCUGCGCCGUAUUAGCUAGUUGGUAAGGUAACGGCUUACCAAGGCAACGAUACGUAGCCGACCUGAGAGGGGGAUCGGCCCACUGGAACCUAGACACGGGCCAGAACCCCAAGGGGGGGCGGCAUGGGGAAAUUUUCCCAAUGGGGGGAAGGCCGAACGGGACAACCCGGGGGGGUGAAGAAGGUUCUUGGGUUGGAAAAACUUUUUUUUUGGGAAAAAAAAAAGGGGUAGGAAACUUGGCCCGUCUGACGGGACCCAAAGAAGAAGCCCCGGCUAAAUUAGGG
rnacentral:rRNA from 1 species